rnacentral:rRNA from 1 species
GCGGUAAUACGUAGGUGGCAAGCGUUGUCCGGAAUUAUUGGGCGUAAAGGGCUCGCAGGCGGUUUCUUAAGUCUGAUGUGAAAGCCCCCGGCUCAACCGGGGAGGGUCAUUGGAAACUGGGAAACUUGAGUGCAGAAGAGGAGAGUGGAAUUCCACGUGUAGCGGUGAAAUGCGUAGAGAUGUGGAGGAACACCAGUGGCGAAGGCGACUCUCUGGUCUGUAACUGACGCUGAGGAGCGAAAGCGUGGGGAGCGAACAGGA